CCCCUCACCUGGAAACCAUUAACUGGGACAGGAUGCACAGAGAGGGGGCAUUGCUCCUAACCUCAAAGAUUCUUGGUACAGACUGGCACAAGGCAUCGUUGUGGCUGUGGGCCUCUAGGUGGGCUCGUGCGGGCAUCGUCUCGGGCUCCUGCCUCCAGAAGCUCCAGGCUCCUGCCCACCUCUGAGAAAGCAGCCUGAGGAAGCAGCCUCAGCCAAGAGCCAGGAGAUGACACCCUGAUGUACGAAGAAACCACCGAAAUCACUAAGGAUGGCACGGGAGCGCAGUGAGGCGCUCACCCAUCCAGCGCUCGGUGAGGCCUGGCGCCUGGGAGGCUGAGGCGGGAGG